rnacentral:rRNA from 1 species
UACAGAGGUGGCAAGCGUUGUUCGGAAUUACUGGGCGUAAAGCGCACGUAGGCGGCUUUGUAAGUUAGAGGUGAAAGCCCGGGGCUCAACUCCGGAAUUGCCUUUAAGACUGCAUCGCUAGAAUUGUGGAGAGGUAAGUGGAAUUCCGAGUGUAGAGGUGAAAUUCGUAGAUAUUCGCAAGAACACCAGUGGCGAAGGCGGCUCACUGGCCCGAUACUGACGCUGAGGCACGAAAGCGUGGGGAGCAAACAGG